CAAUAGCGUAUAUUAAAGUUGUUGCAGUUAAAAAGCUCGUAGUUGGAUUUCGGGUGGGAAUGGCCGGUCCGCCGUUUCGGUGUGCACUUGCUACGCCCACCUUGCUGCCGGGGACGUGCUCUUGAGUUCACGCUCGGGACACGGAGUCGGCGAGGUUACUUUGAGUAAAUUAGAGUGUUCAAAGCAGGCCUACGCUCUGAAUACAUUAGCAUGGAAUAACACGAUAGGACUCUGGCCUAUCUUGUUGGUCUGUAGGGCCGGAGUAAUGAUUAAGAGGGACAGUCGGGGGCAUUCGUAUUUCAUUGUCAGAGGUGAAAUUCUUGGAUUUAUGAAAGACGAACUACUGCGAAAGCAUUUGCCAAGGAUGUUUUCAUUAA
rnacentral:rRNA from 1 species